rnacentral:rRNA from 1 species
GCAUAUCAAUAAGCGGAGGAAAAGAAACCAACCGGGAUUGACUUAGUAACGGCGAGUGAAGCGGCAAAAGCUCAAAUUUGAAAUCUGGUACCUUCGGUGCCCGAGUUGUAAUUUGGAGAGGGCAACUUUGGGGCCGUUCCUUGUCUAUGUUCCUUGGAACAGGACGUCAUAGAGGGUGAGAAUCCCGUGUGGCGAGGAGUGCGGUUCUUUGUAAAGUGCCUUCGAAGAGUCGAGUUGUUUGGGAAUGCAGCUCUAAGUGGGUGGUAAAUUCCAUCUAAAGCCAAAUAUUGGCGAGAGACCGAUAGCGAACAAGUACAGUGAUGGAAAGAUGAAAAGAACUUUGAAAAGAGAGUGAAAAAGUACGUGAAAUUGUUGAAAGGGAAGGGCAUUUGAUCAGACAUGGUGUUUUGUGCCCUCUGCUCCUUGUGGGUAGGGGAAUCUCGCAUUUCACUGGGCCAGCAUCAGUUUUGGUGGCAGGAUAAAUCCAUAGGAAUGUAGCUUGCCUCGGUAAGUAUUAUAGCCUGUGGGAAUACUGCCAGCUGGGACUGAGGACUGCGACGUAAGUCAAGGAUGCUGGCAUAAUGGUUAUAUGCCGCCCGUCUUGAAACACGGACC